rnacentral:tRNA from 1 species
GCGGAUGUAGCUUAGCGGUUAUAGCGCCAGACUCAUAAUCUGGAGGUCGGGAGGUCAAUUCUCCCCAUCCGCA